UUAAGCGACUAAGCGUACACGGUGGAUGCCCUGGCAGUCAGAGGCGAUGAAGGACGUGCUAAUCUGCGAAAAGCGUCGGUAAGGUGAUAUGAACCGUUAUAACCGGCGAUGUCCGAAUGGGGAAACCCAGUGCAAUUCGUUGCACUAUCGUUAACUGAAUACAUAGGUUAACGAGGCGAACCGGGGGAACUGAAACAUCUAAGUACCCCGAGGAAAAGAAAUCAACCGAGAUUCCCCCAGUAGCGGCGAGCGAACGGGGAGCAGCCCAGAGUCUGAAUCAGCUUGUGUGUUAGUGGAACGGUCUGGAAAGUCCGACGGUACAGGGUGAUAGUCCCGUACACCAAAAUGCACAGGCUGUGAACUCGAAGAGUAGGGCGGGACACGUGGUAUCCUGUCUGAAUAUGGGGGGACCAUCCUCCAAGGCUAAAUACUCCUGACUGACCGAUAGUGAACCAGUACCGUGAGGGAAAGGCGAAAAGAACCCCGGCGAGGGGAGUGAAAAAAGAACCUGAAACCGUGUACGUACAAGCAGUGGGAGCACCUUCGGGUGUGACUGCGUACCUUUUGUAUAAUGGGUCAGCGACUUAUAUUCUGUAGCAAGGUUAACCGUAUAGGGGAGCCGCAGGGAAACCGAGUCUUAACUGGGCGUUAAGUUGCAGGGUAUAGACCCGAAACCCGGUGAUCUAGCCAUGGGCAGGUUGAAGGUUGGGUAACACUAACUGGAGGACCGAACCGACUAAUGUUGAAAAAUUAGCGGAUGACUUGUGGCUGGGGGUGAAAGGCCAAUCAAACCGGGAGAUAGCUGGUUCUCCCCGAAAGCUAUUUAGGUAGCGCCUCGUGAACUCAUCUUCGGGGGUAGAGCACUGUUUCGGCUAGGGGGUCAUCCCGACUUACCAACCCGAUGCAAACUACGAAUACCGAAGAAUGUUAUCACGGGAGACACACGGCGGGUGCUAACGUCCGUCGUGAAGAGGGAAACAACCCAGACCGCCAGCUAAGGUCCCAAAGUCAUGGUUAAGUGGGAAACGAUGUGGGAAGGCACAGACAGCCAGGAUGUUGGCUUAGAAGCAGCCAUCAUUUAAAGAAAGCGUAAUAGCUCACUGGUCGAGUCGGCCUGCGCGGAAGAUGUAACGGGGCUAAACCAUGCACCGAAGCUGCGGCAGCGACACUAUGUGUUGUUGGGUAGGGGAGCGUUCUGUAAGCCUGCGAAGGUGACCUGUGAGGGUUGCUGGAGGUAUCAGAAGUGCGAAUGCUGACAUAAGUAACGAUAAAGCGGGUGAAAAGCCCGCUCGCCGGAAGACCAAGGGUUCCUGUCCAACGUUAAUCGGGGCAGGGUGAGUCGACCCCUAAGGCGAGGCCGAAAGGCGUAGUCGAUGGGAAACAGGUUAAUAUUCCUGUACUUGGUGUUACUGCGAAGGGGGGACGGAGAAGGCUAUGUUAGCCGGGCGACGGUUGUCCCGGUUUAAGCAUGUAGGCUGGUUAUCCAGGCAAAUCCGGAUAAUCAAGGCUGAGGUGUGAUGACGAGGCACUACGGUGCUGAAGUAACAAAUGCCCUGCUUCCAGGAAAAGCCUCUAAGCAUCAGGUAACAUCAAAUCGUACCCCAAACCGACACAGGUGGUCAGGUAGAGAAUACCAAGGCGCUUGAGAGAACUCGGGUGAAGGAACUAGGCAAAAUGGUGCCGUAACUUCGGGAGAAGGCACGCUGGUGUGUAGGUGAAGUCCCUGCGGAUGGAGCUGAGACCAGUCGAAGAUACCAGCUGGCUGCAACUGUUUAUUAAAAACACAGCACUGUGCAAACACGAAAGUGGACGUAUACGGUGUGACGCCUGCCCGGUGCCGGAAGGUUAAUUGAUGGGGUUAUCCGUAAGGAGAAGCUCUUGAUCGAAGCCCCGGUAAACGGCGGCCGUAACUAUAACGGUCCUAAGGUAGCGAAAUUCCUUGUCGGGUAAGUUCCGACCUGCACGAAUGGCGUAAUGAUGGCCAGGCUGUCUCCACCCGAGACUCAGUGAAAUUGAACUCGCUGUGAAGAUGCAGUGUACCCGCGGCAAGACGGAAAGACCCCGUGAACCUUUACUAUAGCUUGACACUGAACAUUGAGCCUUGAUGUGUAGGAUAGGUGGGAGGCUUUGAAGCGUGGACGCCAGUCUGCGUGGAGCCAACCUUGAAAUACCACCCUUUAAUGUUUGAUGUUCUAACGUUGGCCCCUUACCGGGGUUGCGGACAGUGUCUGGUGGGUAGUUUGACUGGGGCGGUCUCCUCCCAAAGCGUAACGGAGGAGCACGAAGGUUAGCUAAUCCUGGUCGGACAUCAGGAGGUUAGUGCAAUGGCAUAAGCUAGCUUGACUGCGAGCGUGACGGCGCGAGCAGGUGCGAAAGCAGGUCAUAGUGAUCCGGUGGUUCUGAAUGGAAGGGCCAUCGCUCAACGGAUAAAAGGUACUCCGGGGAUAACAGGCUGAUACCGCCCAAGAGUUCAUAUCGACGGCGGUGUUUGGCACCUCGAUGUCGGCUCAUCACAUCCUGGGGCUGAAGUAGGUCCCAAGGGUAUGGCUGUUCGCCAUUUAAAGUGGUACGCGAGCUGGGUUUAGAACGUCGUGAGACAGUUCGGUCCCUAUCUGCCGUGGGCGCUGGAGAAUUGAGGGGGGCUGCUCCUAGUACGAGAGGACCGGAGUGGACGCAUCACUGGUGUUCGGGUUGUCAUGCCAAUGGCACUGCCCGGUAGCUAAAUGCGGAAGAGAUAAGUGCUGAAAGCAUCUAAGCACGAAACUUGCCCCGAGAUGAGUUCUCCCUGAGACUUUAAGUCUCCUGAAGGAACGUUAAAGACGAUGACGUUGAUAGGCCGGGUGUGUAAGCGCAGCGAUGCGUUGAGCUAACCGGUACUAAUGAACCGUGAGGCUUAACCUU
rnacentral:rRNA from 1 species